AGUGAACGCUGGCGGCAGGCCUAACACAUGCAAGUCGAACGGCAGCACAGUAAUAGCUUUCCUCUACGGGUGGCGAGUGGAGGAAGGGUGGGGUAUCCAUCGGUAUCCACUUUUUCGUGGGGGAUAACGUAGGGAUACUUCCGCUAAUACCUCAUACCACCUACGGGUGAAAGCAGAGGAUCUUCGGACCUUGCGCGAUCGAACGACCCGGUGUCGGAUUGGUUGGUUGGCGGGGUAAAGGCCCACCGAGGCGUCGCUCCGUAGCUAGUCUGAGCGGAGGAUCAGGCACACUGGGAGUGAGAGGCGGCCCAGAGUCCGACGGGAGGCAGCGGUGGGGAAUAUUGGACAAAGGGCGGAAGCCUGAUCCAGCGGUACCGGGUGGGUGAAGAAGGGCUGCGGGUUGUAUGGCCCUUUUGUUGGGGAAGAAAGGCAGCAGGAUAAUACCCCGCUGUUCUGACGGUACCCAAAGAAUAAGCACCGGCUAACUUCGUG
rnacentral:rRNA from 1 species